UCAUAAAAAGUUUUUGAAAGA
rnacentral:piRNA from 1 species